AACGAACGCUGGCGGCAUGCCUAACACAUGCAAGUCGAACGAGACCUUCGGGUCUAGUGGCGCACGGGUGCGUAACGCGUGGGAACCUGCCCUUAGGUUCGGAAUAACUCCCCGAAAGGGGUGCUAAUACCGGAUAAUGUCUUCGGACCAAAGAUUUAUCGCCUUUGGAUGGGCCCGCGUUGGAUUAGCUAGUUGGUAGGGUAAAAGCCUACCAAGGCGACGAUCCAUAGCUGGUCUGAGAGGAUGAACAGCCACACUGGGACUGAGACACGGCCCAGACUCGUAGGGGGGGGAGGGGGGGGGAAUAUUGGAGAAGGGGGAAAAGACUAACAAAGAAGUGCCGGGGGUGAGAGAAGGGCGUUGGGGUUGAAAAGCUGUUUUCCCAGGAAAGAAAAUGAAAGAACGGGGAAAAGAAGCCCCGGCAAACCCCGUG
rnacentral:rRNA from 1 species